AGUGAACGCUGGCGGUAGGCCUAACACAUGCAAGUCGAACGGCAGCACAGUAAGAGCUUGCUCUUACGGGUGGCGAGUGGCGGACGGGUGAGGAAUACAUCGGAAUCUACUUUUUCGUGGGGGAUAACGUAGGGAAACUUACGCUAAUACCGCAUACGACCUACGGGUGAAAGUAGGGGAUCUUCGGACCUUGCGCGAUUGAAUGAGCCGAUGUCGGAUUAGCUAGUUGGCGGGGUAAAGGCCCACCAAGGCGACGAUCCGUAGCUGGUCUGAGAGGAUGAUCAGCCACACUGGAACUGAGACACGGUCCAGACUCCUACGGGAGGCAGCAGUGGGGAAUAUUGGACAAUGGGCGCAAGCCUGAUCCAGCCAUACCGCGUGGGUGAAGAAGGCCUUCGGGUUGUAAAGCCCUUUUGUUGGGAAAGAAAAGCAGCAGGUUAAUACCCCGCUGUUCUGACGGUACCCAAAGAAUAAGCACCGGCGAACUUCGU
rnacentral:rRNA from 1 species